UUUAUGAAAAUUAAAUAAUGCGUUUGCUCUUUUUGGAACUGAUAAUGCUAUUAAAAUACACAAGUUUUCUUUUAUUUUGUAAAACCUAUGGUUAAUUUUCGAGUGUUGCUGAGUUUGUAGAACACAAUAUUAACUGGAUAUAAGGAGCUAUUACUGUGAAAAGGAUUUUCAUCCGAAAUCUGUAUCCGAAUAGUGAAUAUCAUCCGCAUCUGUUUGGAAAACAUUCUUUGACAAGUUACCUAUGGAAUAUGCCAGUGUUUGGUAUAACACCUUAUUGAAAAUAAAUUGAUCUCUUUGAUCAAUUUUACAAAAUGCAGUAAGGUUAUUUUAUCAGAUAAUGGCAUGUUAAUAAUGUAGCUUGUUGUGGCAUCCAAUGAAGACGAUUUCACAAUGCAAUGGAAUUAAUGCAGUAUGGUUUGAUUCUGUGUACAGCAAUUGAAUUGUUGCUGAUAACACUUCAAUUUUUAGUCAAAUCCGAGUUCUACAGUGAAGUUGGCAUGACUCAAGGUGUCUCAAGAAGUUCAGUUUGUGUCUUCACAAAACUGGAGGCUUUCUUCAAUUUUCGCCUCGGAAGACAGCUCUGGUGGUGACUGUAUGUGCCAAACUGCACAAUCUGUGUGUGAGUGAUGGUUUCCUUGUCAUUGAUGACAUUGAGGCAGAAGACAACGAUGACAAUGCACAACUGCCAAUGAAAAACCCUGACCAGAAUGCUUAGCGUGUGCAGGCCUUACUGAUUGAGAGCUUUCACUGAAAAGCGAUUCUAUGUGUUUAAUACAGAAUACCUUUUUCAGCGAAAUCACUCAAUCAAUAAUGAAUUAAUUCUCAAUAGCAUACUGAACUGUUUAAUGUAUUGUUUUGUUCAUUUCACUACUAGAGUAUUCUUUUAUUACUAGGUGAUAUUUAGUGUUAAAAUAUAAGAAGUUGUUCUAACAAUAUUUCUUGAUAGUUGUUAAAAAGUGCAGAGAAUUGUAAUAACCUUAUCAAUUUCAAACCAUAUUUAGUGCAUUUCAUUGAUAGCAAUUUGCUGCUAAAAUUGUCAUUUGAUUUAUAACAUUUUCCAUUUAUUGUACUUCACAAAGUGAUUUUUUUUCAAACAAAACUUUGAAUUGUAUCAAAAACAAACAUCAUGAAUAAAUGUUUAAAGCCACACCUUGAAAUGAAGUACAUGUUAAUAAAUACAUAAAGAUGCAAUUUCAAAAUGUGCAACAUUGUCAUAAAAUCUCUAGCCUUGU